rnacentral:rRNA from 1 species
AGUGAACGCUGGCGGUAGGCCUAACACAUGCAAGUCGAACGGCAGCACAGUAAGAGCUUGCUCUUACGGGUGGCGAGUGGCGGACGGGUGAGGAAUACAUCGGAAUCUACUUUUUCGUGGGGGAUAACGUAGGGAAACUUACGCUAAUACCGCAUACGACCUACGGGUGAAAGCAGGGGAUCUUCGGACCCUGCGCGAUUGAAUGAGCCGAUGUCGGAUUAGCUAGUUGGCGGGGUAAAGGCCCACCAAGGCGACGAUCCGUAGCUGGUCUGAGAGGAUGAUCGGCCACACUGGACCUGAGACACGGUCCAGACUCCUACGGGAGGCAGCAGUGGGGAAUUUUGGACAAUGGGCGCAAGCCUGAUCCAGCCAUCCCGCGUGGGUGAAGAAGGCCUUCGGGUUGUAAAGCCCUUUUGUUGGGAAAGAAAAGCAGCAGGUUAAUACCCCGCUGUUCUGACGGUACCCAAAGAAUAAGCACCGGCUAACUUCGU